rnacentral:rRNA from 1 species
UUGGUUAAGUUAGAAAGGGCGCACGGUGGAUGCCUUGGCACUAGGAGCCGAAGAAGGACGGGACUAACACCGAUAUGCUUUGGGGAGCUGUACGUAAGCGUUGAUCCAGAGAUUUCCGAAUGGGGGAACCCACUAUCUUUAGUCGGAUAGUAUCCUUACGUGAAUACAUAGCGUGAGGAAGGCAGACCCAGGGAACUGAAACAUCUAAGUACCUGGAGGAAGAGAAAGAAAAAUCGAUUUCCUGAGUAGCGGCGAGCGAAACGGAAAGAGCCCAAACCAAGAAGCUUGCUUCUUGGGGUUGUAGGACACUCUAUACGGAGUUACAAAAGAAAGUUAUAAAUGAAGCGGUCUGGAAAGGCCCGCCAAAGACGGUAACAGCCCGGUAGUUGAAAUAGCUUUCCCUCCAGAGUGGAUCCUGAGUACGGCGGAACACGUGAAAUUCCGUCGGAAUCCGGGAGGACCAUCUCCCAAGGCUAAAUACUCCCUAGUGACCGAUAGUGAACCAGUACCGUGAGGGAAAGGUGAAAAGCACCCCGGAAGGGGAGUGAAACAGUUCCUGAAACCGUGUGCCUACAAGUAGUUAGAGCCCGUUAAUGGGUGAUAGCGUGCCUUUUGUAGAAUGAACCGGCGAGUUACGAUUUGUUGCAAGGUUAAGCGGAAAAAGCGGAGCCGUAGCGAAAGCGAGUCUGAAUAGGGCGCAUAAGUAACAGGUCGUAGACCCGAAACCAGGUGAUCUACCCAUGUCCAGGAUGAAGGUAAGGUAAUACUUACUGGAGGUCCGAACCCACGCACGUUGAAAAGUGCGGGGAUGAGGUGUGGGUAGCGGAGAAAUUCCAAUCGAACUUGGAGAUAGCUGGUUCUCUCCGAAAUAGCUUUAGGGCUAGCCUCGAGGUAAAGAGUCAUGGAGGUAGAGCACUGUUUGGACUAGGGGCCCUUCUCGGGUUACCGAAUUCAGAUAAACUCCGAAUGCCAUGUACUUAUACUCGGGAGUCAGACUGCGAGUGAUAAGAUCCGUAGUCGAAAGGGAAACAGCCCAGACCACCAGUUAAGGUCCCCAAAUAUAUGUUAAGUGGAAAAGGAUGUGGGGUUGCUUAGACAACCAGGAUGUUGGCUUAGAAGCAGCCACCAUUGAAAGAGUGCGUAAUAGCUCACUGGUCGAGUGACCCCGCGCCGAAAAUGUACCGGGGCUAAACAUAUUACCGAAACUGUGGAUGAACCUCUUUAGAGGUUCGUGGUAGGAGAGCGUUCUAAGGGCGGUGAAGUCAGACCGGAAGGACUGGUGGAGCGCUUAGAAGUGAGAAUGCCGGUAUGAGUAGCGAAAGAAGGGUGAGAAUCCCUUCCACCGAAUAUCUAAGGUUUCCUGAGGAAGGCUCGUCCGCUCAGGGUUAGUCGGGACCUAAGCCGAGGCCGAUAGGCGUAGGCGAUGGACAACAGGUAGAGAUUCCUGUACCAGUGCUAAUUGUUUAACCGAUGGGGUGACACAGAAGGAUAGGGAAUCGCACGAAUGGAAAUGUGCGUCCAAGCAGUGAGUGUGAGAAGUAGGCAAAUCCGCUUCUCGCGAAGCAUGAGCUGUGAUGGGGAAGGAAAUUAAGUACGGAAGUUCCUGAUUUCACGCUGUCAAGAAAAGCCUCUAGGAAGAGUAGUACUGCCCGUACCGCAAACCGACACAGGUAGAUGAGGAGAGAAUCCUAAGGUGAGCGAGAGAACUCUCGUUAAGGAACUCGGCAAAAUGACCCCGUAACUUCGGGAGAAGGGGUGCUCUAUUAGGGUGCAAGCC